AUUGAACGCUGGCGGCAGGCCUAACACAUGCAAGUCGAGCGGAAGAAGGGAGCUUGCUCCUGGAUUCAGCGGCGGACGGGUGGGUAAUGCCUAGGAAUCUGCCUGGUAGUGGGGGAUAACGUCCGGAAACGGGCGCUAAUACCGCAUACGUCCUGAGGGAGAAAGUGGGGGAUCUUCGGACCUCACGCUAUCAGAUGAGCCUAGGUCGGAUUAGCUAGUUGGUGGGGUAAAGGCCUACCAAGGCGACGAUCCGUAACUGGUUUGAGAGGAUGAGCAGUCACACUGAAACUGAGAACGGUGCCGAAUCCCUACGGGAGGCAGCAGUGGGGAAUAUUGGAAAAGGGGCGAAAGCCGGAUCCAGCCAUGCCGGGGGGGUGAAGAAGGUCUUCGGAUGGUAAAGCACUUUAAGGUGGGAGGAAGGGCAGUAAGUUAAGACCUUGCUGUUUGGACGUUACCAACAGAAUAGACACCGGCUAACUUCGU
rnacentral:rRNA from 1 species